rnacentral:rRNA from 1 species
AUUGAACGCUGGCGGCAGGCCUAACACAUGCAAGUCGAACGGUAACAGGAAGAAGCUCGCUUCUUUGCUGACGAGUGGCGGACGGGUGAGUAAUGUCUGGGAAACUGCCUGAUGGAGGGGGAUAACUACUGGAAACGGUAGCUAAUACCGCAUAACGUCGCAAGACCAAAGAGGGGGACCUUCGGGCCUCUUGCCAUCGGAUGUGCCCAGAUGGGAUUAGCUAGUAGGUGGGGUAACGGCUCACCUAGGCGACGAUCCCUAGCUGGUCUGAGAGGAUGACCAGCCACACUGGAACUGAGACACGGUCCAGACUCCUACGGGAGGCAGCAGUGGGGAAUAUUGCACAAUGGGCGCAAGCCUGAUGCAGCCAUGCCGCGUGUAUGAAGAAGGCCUUCGGGUUGUAAAGUACUUUCAGCGGGGAGGAAGGGAGUAAAGUUAAUACCUUUGCUCAUUGACGUUACCCGCAGAAGAAGCACCGGCUAACUCCGUG